rnacentral:rRNA from 1 species
CACGCCGUAAACGAUGGAUGCUGGGUGUUGGUGGUAUCGACCCCAUCAGCGCCGUAGCUAACGCGUUAAGCAUCCCGCCUGAGGACUACGGCCGCAAGGCUAAAACCCAAGGGAAUUGACGGGGGCCCGCACAAGCAGCGGAGCGUGUGGUUUAAUUCGAUGCAACACGAAGAACCUUACCAGGGCUUGACAUGUACGUGGUAGGGAUGCGAAAGCUGAACGACCCCUUCGGGGGAGCGUACACAGGUGC